UACAGAGGUCUCAAGCGUUGUUCGGAUUCAUUGGGCGUAAAGGGUGCGUAGGCGGCGCGGUAAGUCGGGUGUGAAAUCUCGGGGCUUAACUCCGAAACUGCAUUCGAUACUGCCGUGCUUGAGGACUGGAGAGGAGACUGGAAUUUACGGUGUAGCGGUGAAAUGCGUAGAUAUCGUCAAGAACACCUAUAGCGAAGGCAGCUUACUGGGCUGUAACUGACGCUGAGGCACGAAAGUGUGGGGAUCAAACAGG
rnacentral:rRNA from 1 species